rnacentral:rRNA from 1 species
AGUGAACGCUGGCGGUAGGCCUAACACAUGCAAGUCGAACGGCAGCACAGUAAGAGCUUGCUCUUACGGGUGGCGAGUGGCGGACGGGUGAGGAAUACAUCGGAAUCUACUUUUUCGUGGGGGAUAACGUAGGGAAACUUACGCUAAUACCGCAUACGACCUACGGGUGAAAGCAGGGGAUCUUCGGACCUUGCGCGAUUGAAUGAGCCGAUGUCGGAUUAGCUAGUUGGCGGGGUAAAGGCCCACCAAGGCGCCGAUCCGUAGCUGGUCUGAGAGGAUGAUCAGCCACACUGGAACUGAGACACGGUCCAGACUCCUACGGGAGGCAGCAGUGGGGAAUAUUGGACAAUGGGCGCAAGCCUGAUCCAGCCAUACCGCGUGGGUGAAGAAGGCCUUCGGGUUGGAAAGCCCUUUUGUUGGGAAAGAAAAGCAGCAGGUUAAUACCCCGCUGUUCUGACGGUACCCAAAGAAUAAGCACCGGCUAACUUCGUG